CACUUUAAAUGACUCAGGAAGUAAAAGGAGGCCUCCUGACGGGGAAAGGGAAAGUGGAACCGGGGCGGCGCGGGGGACGGCGGCAGCAGCAAUCUCGCCCGAGUAGCGGGAGGCUGAGCGGGCGGCGCGACGCGGGGGCCGACGGGGGCGCCGGGUGCCCGCGCCGGAAGUGCCCUGCGCGGCAGAGGAAGCGCAAGGACAGAGCGGAGCAGGCCGAGCCAGCGGAAGGCUCUUUGCUGCUCCGCCCGGGCAGGGGCUGCCCCGGCCCCAGGUCCCGCUUCCAGACGCGGCGCGGUCCAGGCGGGCGGCGACUCCCGAGGAAGGGACCCGGGGCGGGAGAAGGAAGUGAGGAGGCCGCGCAGAGGGAAGGCGGCGAGCCCUGAGGCCCCGAGGCCUUACCGCGUCACAGCAACCACAUGGCCUCCGGAGUGGGCGCGGCCUUCGAGGAGCUGCCUCACGACGGCACGUGUGACGAGUGCGAGCCCGACGAGGCUCCGGGGGCCGAGGAAGUGUGCAGAGAAUGCGGCUUCUGCUACUGCCGUCGCCACGCUGAGGCGCACAGGCAGAAGUUCCUCAGUCACCACCUGGCCGAAUACGUCCACGGCGCCCAGGCCUGGACCCCGCCAGCUGACGGAGAGGGGGCGGGGAAGGAAGAAGCGGAGGUCAAGGUGGAGCAGGAGAGGGAGAUAGAAAGCGAGGCAGGGGAAGAAAGUGAGUCGGAGGAAGAGAGCGAGUCAGAGGAAGAGAGUGAGACAGAGGAAGAGAGUGAGGAUGAGAGCGAUGAGGAGAGUGAAGAAGACAGCGAGGAAGAAAUGGAGGAUGAGCAAGAAAGCGAGGCCGAAGAAGACAACCAAGAAGAAGGGGAAUCCGAGGCGGAGGGAGAAACUGAGGCAGAAAGUGAAUUUGACCCAGAAAUAGAAAUGGAAGCAGAGAGAGUGGCCAAGAGGAAGUGUCCGGACCAUGGGCUCGAUUUGAGCACCUAUUGCCAGGAAGAUAGGCAGCUCAUCUGUGUCCUGUGUCCAGUCAUUGGGGCUCAUCAGGGCCACCAACUCUCCACCCUAGACGAAGCCUUUGAAGAAUUAAGAAGCAAAGACUCAGGUGGACUGAAGGCGGCUAUGAUCGAAUUGGUGGAAAGGUUGAAGUUCAAGAGCUCAGACCCUAAAGUAACUCGGGACCAAAUGAAGAUGUUUAUACAGCAGGAAUUUAAGAAAGUUCAGAAAGUGAUUGCCGAUGAGGAGCAGAAGGCCCUUCAUCUAGUGGACAUCCAGGAGGCAAUGGCCACAGCUCAUGUGACUGAGAUACUGGCAGACAUCCAAUCCCACAUGGAUAGGUUGAUGACCCAGAUGGCCCAAGCCAAGGAACAACUUGAUACCUCUAAUGAAUCAGCUGAGCCAAAGGCAGAGGGCGAUGAGGAAGGACCCAGAAAUUGAGCAUGAGAAAAACAGUGCAAAGAGGGAGGAGCUGACAGAGUUGCAGCAAAAGCAGAGAAAGAGGCAUUUCUUAGCUGCUAGAUGCAUCUUGGUCUGGAUACUUUGGGACAGCUGCCGUUUUCUCCCACCUGUACAGUGGUGCCAGUGAAGAAGAGGACACAUGAAGGCUUGCUACCCCCAGUGGAAAAUCAUCCCCUCCCCUUGUGUGUAUGUGACAGUGUGUAUGUAACGGCUUCUGAUUUCUGUGAAAGCUGCUCAGCAACAAACGUACUUCCACCAGAUGUGUCCCCAGAUCCACAGCAGGCACAUAUCUCUCCAAGGGAUGACCAGUUUUAUGCUUACUGACUGUGUGCUUCUCAUCUUCUGGUUGUGGUAGGUCAAGGAAAAGAGCCCAUUUGAUCCACCAGGAGCAAUUAAGAAGGGUCCUUCAGGUAAUCCCUCAGUGGCUGCUUUGAACUUACUCAGGAAAGUCAGCCCCCAUAAUAUUGUGUUACCAAACAGUAUGGCUUUGUUAGGAAGGAUCUGGAAUAAUCUUGAAGGGAAGUCAGAGUUUUCUCCCUGCCUAUUAACAGAAACCCAAUUUUGUUCAUAUUGAAGCAUGAAAUAAAUGAGAGCAAGGUAGGGCCACAUUGACUCAUGUGGGCAGUCCCUAAAAGUCCAGUUCUGCAUUUGUGAAAAUGUGGUGCCAUGAAUUAAGGUGGAUGACUGGAAAAAGGUGUUGGAGAAAGAGUUAAAGAUUAGGAAGAGAUAUUUUUAGUAUAUGAAGUUAUCCAGGACUUGAGAUUCAUAAUUCAGUGCUGUGGAAAUGAAAAAAAAUGAUUGAAGAGGUGGAACGGAAAUGACCUUAGGGGGAAAAAAAAGGACCAAAGAAAUCUGAUUAAAAGUUGAAAUCAGUAAUUCUGAAUUCAAAUUGCUUGAAUUUCCAAAAUAGUCAGUAAAGGAUCUAAUAGAACCACAAUUAUUUGGGUGAAUUCUGCAGGUUUUAUGGGCUUGUCACAACAUGAAGGGCUGGAAUGUAUAUUACCAAAUGGGAAUUUUCACUGUAGGUUUUUGCUAGUCCUACCCCCAUUUUAGCCUAAUUUGGCUUAAAUGCAGUAUGGGGAGAAUUGAUGCCACUCCAUGUGUUCUGAAUUCAGCUGAUCUCCCAGCAUAUAGAUAUAACCUCCUUUACCUCAGACCAGAACCCUUCUUCCUGUGGCACUCCCCACCCACAGACCUUCAGAUCAUCUCCCACACCCUGGAUCUCGCUCUCCUCUUAGUAACAGAGACAUGCCUGAGGUUGGACUUCCUUGCUUUUCUCUACUUCCAAAUCACAAUUUCUUACAACCAAGCUUUGUACUCCCGAGUAAGCAGGGAUGUGCUAGGGGAAUGUAAAACUGCAAACUUAAAAACCUGCAUCUUCUUGAAGCAUCAGUUUUACUUACCAAAUGGUUUGGAGUCAGGAGAUGACCUAUUUUUAUAUAAAAGUUAUAUUAUAGAAUAAAAUGUUCAUACACAUAGACUGUUAAGAUAAAAAAUAGGAAUCUUGAAAGGUAAUUAUUUGCAAGUGGGUUAUAUGUUCACUCUCCUCUGCCUUUAUGGUAUUUUGGUGUUCACUUAUGAAGAAUACAACUGGAACCAUAUCCAAGCAGACUCUGGGUUGCUGCUAACCCAGGGCCUAGACUUCUAGUGCCUCUGAGGCAGAACCAAAGGAGCCUGCACCGGGGAAAAUCCCUUUUCCUGCCUGCCUAUGACCUGUGUACCUAUUAUAGGGCCAGCUGAUUAUUGUGCUUGCAGGAUGGUUUUGAAACAGAAACAAUACUUGUUUACUAUAAGAGUCCUAUUUAUAUUAUUUUUCAGUCCUGUGAAUGCUGUGAAAUGAUUUAUUCCUUUGAGGCCAGGAAGCUCCCAGGCAUAUAUGCUUCUAGGUUAGGAUUGUCCUAACUCACUAAAGAUGCCAGGAUAUUAGGGCUGAGAGGAGUUUGAGAUGUUAAAAAAAAAAAAAAAGCAUUUUUCUCUCAAACUGGUGGCCAAGAAAUGGCUAAGACAAUUUUGGUGCUUUAGCUGUCUCUGCAAAGACUGGAGAAUUUGGCAUACCAUUAAUUACAACCUCCAAUCAUAUCCAACAAAACUACCCUAAAAGAAGGACCAGUGGCCACUCUUGAAAAAGUUUAAGUAUCAGAAGAUUAAAAAGAUUUUAGGAUUUGGAAGCUUGUAUUGUCUUUCCCCAAUAAUCAUUGUUUGAUCUCCAAAUAGUAGCCUUAUAUUAGCAAUGGACAGAUCAUUGGUUCUCCAUAUCUGAUCAUAUGUUAUUACUUUGAAUCAGUAUUUGGGAAAUUCAAGUAUUUAUGCAGUGGAUAUAAAUGGAAAUAUAAAAAUGUGUGCCAGUCUGUCUCAGUAACUUAUCUCUGAUCCUCAAGGAAAGCACUUUUGCUGUUACUUAGAAAGGGUUUCAGAGUUGCUUUACAGACUCCUGCUGUCUUCAGCACCUGAUAAAACUUUAACCAGGGAAGCAUUAAACACAGUGCAGCAGCUUUUGCCCAGGCUCCUAAGUUCCUGCCGGCAGCAUUUAUCAAUGUAAGAAACUAGGAUGCUUCCUGCAGUGGCACCACCUUCCCAUAGAGCUGGAGCAUGCUGCUUGGCCUUAAGCCCCAGCAUGAUGAGGCUUCCCUCCUGCCAGGUCAGUAAAACUUAGAAAGCUCAGAAUUGUGUCUUGCCUGGCUGCAGGUUGCAGGGUUUGCUGAAACCCCUAAAGAGAAGUCACCAAGGGAGGCAGGUAAUGAAUGUUUCCAGAAUCAGUCAGAUACUCAUAGCAAUUUCUGGCUACCUUUCAAAUGUUGAAUUUCCGGAUGCCGAGAGGGACUUUGAUUUGAUAUCAUUAAAUCCAGGACAGUCCCAAGAAGUGCUUGGAGUCUCCACUCUGACAGCCCAAGAAGGGAAAUAACUUGUAUUAAGGAACAACUAUGAGCCAGGCCCUGAACUGUCUCUUAGAUAAUAAAACAGAUGGGGAAUGGAAGUCAUUUGCUUCAAGUUACACAGCUAGGAAAUACUCAAGCCAAAUCUUGAACCCAGCUCCCCCUAAUUCUGUGGACAAGCACUUUGUACCACACACUGUGGUCCACCUAAAAACAGAAGGAUAAAAAGGCUUCAGGUUUUCCCACUGUGCGCUGACCAUCCCAAUUUAUGAAUCUUUUUCAAAAUGACAGUUAUAGUUAGGGCUCAGAAAUGGCAUUGAGGUAGCCUUAUUUCUCCCCUUUAGCCGAUGCUUUAAGUACACAUUGCUGGCUUGAGCCCACCCCCAGGAGUUGGGAGAACAUUUCCUUUUUCAUGCCGUCUUCCAUAAAUAAAGUGUUUCUUGGCCUUCAAAGGUAUAGAACUUUGCAGCAGUAGUAAAAGUGAAGGGUGUUCUGCUUUCUACUCAACUUUAUUUGCAACUGUCUGCAGCUUCACUGCUGUAGAAAAGGAAAUCUUCAUAUUUUAGUAAACUUAGCGGCCAGUGUGCUCUGUGAGGAUGUGGCAAUUCAAAGUCCAGUGAAUCUGGACUCUCCUACUAAUUCCUGGUUUGCGUGUGUUGGGGGAGUGUGUACCUAUAUAUAAAUGACAAGUGUGAUAUGUGUGUAUAUGUAUAUACGUACAUGUCCACACACACACACAAUAUUUGAGAACUAAGGAAAACUCAAAGCAGCCCCUUCAUUAUCUUGCAUACUACUUCAAAGAUUUCUGUCAGCCCUAAUUACAAGUGUCACCAUAUAGUUGGAGCUUAGGUACUUGCUUACAAGAAGAGCAAUUCCCUAGCAAAAGUUGUUAGCUGCUAAGGCACUGAGUCAAAGUGACAGCCCUGAAGGAAAUUGCACUCCAGCCCUCCUCCAAGAUGUCUAAUAACAUGGGAAACUUGGAUGCCCAGCCAUUUUGGUGACCUGAGAGUCUAACUACUCCAGUUAGACCUGAGGGCACAAAUGCAGAAUUCAUGACCUUGUAGUAGUGGCAGGGUCUAGGAAGUCCUCUCUCCCCAAGUAGAAAAUGCUCCCUUGCCAUUCUUGAAAUUCCACAUUCAUUAUAUGUAUUGGCUGUUCCAUACAUGCUUCUCAAUAAGAAAAUUAACUGCAUGUUUACUGUGUGCUGAUCACAUCAGAUUUUUAUGUUUAAAAAAAUCUCAUUAUGGACUGAGUCCAGCCCAGCCCUAGGAGAAAAAGAAGGCCCAUAGGGGAGACUUCAAUCUCAUUAUUAUUGCCUUUAUCCAACAGGGCUUAUGAAACCCCCUACCCUGUCCCAUUCCAGAAACCAUAAGACUCAGGCAGUUCUUGAUUCUGGAGGCCUGCCUGGUAAGAUAAGAUAGUAUCAUUUGGAACUGAGAACAUACCAGAAACAGCAGAACAAGGUCCAGAGCAGAAAAAUGAAAAUAAGUGAAGACACUUACGGAUACAUUGGUGCAGAAAAAGCCACGGAGCCCAUACUAGGCUUGAUAUGACUUUGAGGGGACAGCAGAUUAAUACUCAAUGAGGAUUAAACCUGACCGGUCUUUCUACAGUGACAGGCCACUCUGCAUGAAUGGGGAGAAUCAAUGAAUCCAUUGUCCUCUGCCUAUUUUCCUGUGCACAGUGACAUUCCUUCCUUAGGAAUCUUCCCUUUCCACCCUUUACAUUAAACAAGGGAACACUGAAUCUUUCAACAGAAUUACACGUUUGAGUUAAUGUUUCAGUAUAUCAUUUUCAUACUGUAAAUUAUUUUGAAAGAGAGAUUUACUGCUAUCCCAGGAUGUUUGGACUUGGCGCCCCUGUGCAUUUGGAAAUCAAUAAACUAUUACUGGAAAUGCCA